rnacentral:rRNA from 1 species
UACGAAGGGGGCUAGCGUUGCUCGGAAUCACUGGACGUAAAGGGCGCGUAGGCGGACUUUUAAGUCGGAGGUGAAAGCCCAGGGCUCAACCCUGGAAUUGCCUUCGAUACUGGGAGUCUUGAGUUCGGAAGAGGUUGGUGGAACUGCGAGUGUAGAGGUGAAAUUCGUAGAUAUUCGCAAGAACACCGGUGGCGAAGGCGGCCAACUGGUCCGAUACUGACGCUGAGGCGCGAAAGCGUGGGGAGCAAACAGG